CUUCAUUUUACAACUUUAGCCCAUCAUCUUUGUUUUCUUCUUCGUUUCUUUCUCUCUGUUUCCCGUUUCUUUAUUUCUCCUUUUUUUUCUUGCUGGUUCAACGAAGAAAAGUACAACUUCAAUUCUUCCAUCAGUAGCCAAUUGUUUAGAAGUGUUUUUGACUUUUUCCCUAGCAUUCUUGCCCUCUCUUUCCCGUUCUUUCCGUUUCGUUUUCUUUUUGCUUCAGAAGAAGCAUAUUUGCAGAUUUCAUUUUCUUUUCAUGUUAAGCUCUACAUUUUCUCCUUCGUCCCUCCCUCUCUGUUUCCAUUCCUUUGUUUCUCUUUUGUUUUCUUCCUGGAUCGGACAAACAAAAGUACCAACUUAUCUGCUCCAACACCUGGUCAAUAAUUUGACCAUCUUUUCCCCCAAAAUAUGGCCGCUCAUCCAUAUCCCAAUCGUGCUAUUGUUCCAGAAAGAGUCAAUUGUGGCUGCUCAUCCAUAUCCCAACUAUGCGAUUAUUCCACAAAGAGUCAGGAACACAAACACUGCUCACAAAAAAAAUCAACGCUUCUUCCUCCUUUUGCUCUGUAACAUCUCCGAGUAAAGGGGUUUAAUUGCACUUUGAAAGAAUUGGUGCAGAAGAGCUUCUGAUUUAGCGUUCACAGAUUUCAGUUGGGUUUAGUUACGAUUUAAAAGAGUCGGUGCUAAAGAAGCUUUGGUUUGGGGUUGGCAGAUUCAUAUUAAGGAAUUGCUUCAAUUCAAGGAUGGCACCAAGGCAUUCCGAAAAAGGGAAUAAAGGCACAAACUAAGAGAUUGAGAAAAAAAAAACUUACAACCGAAUCUAUUUGCCCCAUCAAUGUCUCUAAUGUAGAUGAAUUACUUGAGAAUGAAGAGGCUGUAAUGAGUAGCUUUCAAGAAGAUCCAGAUUUCGUUUCCGUGCGAGAGUAUUAUGCUUAUAAGCUCCAGAAGCAGAUACAGAUUGGAUCAUAAAAUGUUCAUCAUGCAGACAAGAAGCCAAAGUGGAACUAAGGUGUCGCAUUGGAAUAACAGUGACCGAUCCAACUGCAAGCAUUCAAUGCUUAAUAUCUGGAAAAGAAGCUGAAAGACUGAUACAAUUGACUGCUGCGCAGCUUAAGGAUGCAGAGGCACAUGGAAUAACAAUGAACCAAGAACUCUCUGCCAUCAUGAAAAAGUACAGGUUGAUCUGUUUUAUCAAAACAUAUGAGACAACUUUUCAAGGACAACUUCAAAGAAGAAAUGCAAUCAUCAAAGCCUACCCAACAGCUGAAGUCCCCAACAUAUCAUUGGCUCUAUUAGAUUCACCACCAACUCUCCAAGCUUCAGAAACUGGAACAACAUCAAACACCAAGCAAAAACAAGUCAUAGAACAACAAACGUUCACACCAACAGCCAAGUUGCUCCUUCAAGAAAUAGCCGAAUCCACUGCUACUAAAAAAAGCUUCAUCACUAAAUCAACAACUGCUGCAACAACCAGCCACAAACUGCUUGAAGACACUGCUACCUCAGCUUCACCAAAUACCACCCCAAUCGACGAAACUGCUGCCAGCCCAACAAAGAAACCAAAACAGGAAGGAAAAGGGAAUUGAACACUCCCCAACCCUUACUAAAACCUUUUGAUAUUGCUAGAGAAGAACUUAGCAGGUCUAUCAUGCCUAAAUUGUAGUUUUAGAAUCCAUUGCUCCAAUAUUUUUUGAUAGAGCAAUGCAUUCUAAUACUUAGAAUUAGUACCUCCUCCCUCACCUGCUAACAACUCCUAUUACCAGAACCAUAAACCUGUAAAGCCUAGGUUCAUGACUUUGUCAAGCUGAAAAUGCAGUAUUAGAAUCCAUUGCUCCAAUAUCUUUUGAUAGAGUAGUGCAUUCUAAUACUCAUAUGUCAUAUAAGCUUCUCUAGCAAUCAAUAAUAUGUGCAGUACUUCUAUACGUUCCAAAUGAGCGGUUUACUUUUCAUAUAAGUUAAAAAUUUACAUAUGUUUCUCCAUAUAUCUACUUUAUUGCAUUCAUUUAAUUACAAGUUGAAAGUGUUGGUGCAGAAAAGCCUUUUAUUUGGGGUUCACAGAUUUGCACUAAGGAAUUGCUUCAAUUUCAGGUCACUUUCUCCUCUUCCUUGACUACACGCUAUAAUGUUUGUGCUUAAGUUUUGUUAUAUUUCAUCUAUUAUUCAUAAUUUUUUCAGUUGUAGGUUCGUUUGAUCUCACUUAUUAAUUGAACGUAUGCUUUAUACGAUUAUGGUGAGGUUGGCUAAUCAAUAGAUUUAUAUGUACUGGAAGCAAACGAGUAUGAUCAAGGAAGAUCACCUACUUGCUGCAAUCAAAGUUGCUGCUUCUAUCAGGGGACACAACCUAUCAGUAAGCUUUUCUUCACAUAAUUGGCCUUAAGGUCAACGAAAAGACUGCAGCAUCAUAGCAUUAUCUCAUCUUACUUCACUUUACCUUAACUUUGUUGGUAAAUCCAGGGAUCAGGAAUUUGAUAAAAUGAAAUUCAAUGAGUGAAAAUUGAGAUGUCCCUUUUUGUGCUAUAUAAAUUCUUAUGUUCUAAAUUAUUGAAUUUCGCAUAUACUGAUUAUCUAUGGUUUACAUUUCUAGCUGCAUGGUUUUGUAAAGAAAGGGAAAUUGCAGGAUGCCCUCACUAGCAUCGACCUUCUAAUCAUUCCUGUUCGAGUUCAUAGGAAACUAGCAAUGACUAAAGAUGACCUUUUUAAUAUCAAUCCUCACAUUGUUAGGACUCUAUGAACGAAUUUCAAAGUGCUGUGCGAAAGCUAUUAUUCGCAUGGUGCCAUUUGGGGCUGCAAUGAACGUCACAUCUUGCCAUCAAACAUUUGGGCUGCAAGGAAUUUCAAAGUGUUUGUAAAGUUACGCACUAUUGUUCUACGAUUCAGUUAAUUUUGUUUUGGUGUUGUCUAGAUAUCUUUAUUAUCAAUAUUUGGUAAUUCAAAGUCCAACAUGCUUGAAUUAGCCAAAGAUUUGAAUUUUUUUUGGUCAUAAUUCUUCUGCAAGCUGUACAAAUUAUUGUAAAACUGUGGAAUUGUAUGUGAUCGAGCUGUACAAAUUAUUGUAAAAAUCUGGAAUCAUACGUGAGUGUGUAUCUUUCUGCAUGAAAGAA